UUUCUGCUGCGGGGCUCCUGAGAACAUUAACGCUCAUUAGGGCCCCGAGCGUGCACUGCAAAGGCUUUCUUACCGUCGCCUCGGGCGAGCUGUCGUUAUUCUCCGAGCAAAUAAAGCGAGCGGCGUUUGAAAGUUAGCUUGCUUGCGCAAAUCCAGAACUCGCCGGGUGCGGGAGGGAGCUCACAAAAAAGCUUUCUAGAGCCCUUUAGUUCUUCCACAUUUUUUCCUGAUUGCUCCCAAAAUUGAAGCACUGGCGUCCUUCCGUUCUUUUUUGUAAACCACAAACGCGCACCAUCGGAGCGGAGCGCACGUGUCUGCGAAAUACGUGCAAGAUCUCUGCUCCGUCGACGCUGCACGGCGGCGGCCAAUUUCCACCAGAAGAAAGCGAGGGGAGGCGUCGAUGAGCAGUUUUUAAUUAACUUUGGAAGACGUUUGAGGCAGGGCAGCGAGCGAAGGAGCGAGCGAAGGAGCGAGCGAGGGCUUUGCGACUCCUUCAGAUCGUCUUUGCUCCUCCGCGAGGCGGGAAGGAGGAAGAGGAGGAGGAGGAGGGUGGCAGAGAAGACGAAUGCGUGGGGGGAAGUAAAGCGUGGAAGCGGCGGCCGUCACCUCUCGCCGUGUGUGAUUGACAGCUCACUUUAUUCCCCUCCUCCUCCUCAUUUUGUUUGGUAGGUGUUUAUUUGCCGCCGUCGAGUAACUCGUCUCCAUCCGGGAGCGUCUUAACACCCAGCGCCUAGGUGAUGCCCGAUUUAAUGGAAUGAAUUCAAGCGUGCAACGCUCGUCGUGUCAGCAGAAUAUCGUCAUUCCUGUGAGUUGAUUAAAAUCGAUCAAGUCAAAGGAAAAUAAAUAUAGAGUCAGUAAGACCUCCAAAUAAUUUUAUUUUAUUAUUUUUAGUAUCAUUUCAAAUGAAUCGCUAUUGUCUUUUAAAUGUGAUAUUGUUGUGAGUGCCGGUCGCCCUAAUUGUGUUUCUACCGAUUGGCUCGUUCUCCCAGACGGACUCCAUCUUUAGCAAGCGGCUCUCUGCUUCCACGGCUGCCAGCGGUGUGGGCCGCAACACCCCCGCCCUGCCUUCUCCCCUAAUUGAAGUUAAACAGCUGACAAAUAGAACCCCCCCCCAAUCCCGCAGAUGCUUAUAAAUGUCAACAUACGCUCCCACUUGGACUGACACUCCCCCGGGGACAACAGCAAGUGUCUCUUAUGCUAAUCACUUCUCUUCCUCUGGCGGCCAGCGAAAGAAAGGAAAAAAAGAAGAAAAAAAACGCUGGUGGAUGAUAAGACCACCGUGUCUCAGCUGGGCUUAAGUCACCAAAACUAACAUCUAACCUGUGGAAAUUCAAAAGGGCACUUACGGAACGAGGACGGGAUGCCCAGAACCGAAGCCCACAACAGACUCAAAUCCCAAAAAGUCAAAAAGCUUCAGCUGCUCUUUCUCCAUCUCACCACUUGGCGGCGCAAUUUGAAGUGGCGCUCGCACUUCCUCGGUGGUCCUCGCCAUGUGUGCUUCCUCAUCCCCGUGGAAACGCCGGCCGGCCGGGCGCCCGUGGCAAAGGCCCGCCCACACGCCGCCGUCUCGUGUUUGUGUGUGCCAAUACGUCGUCAGGUUGGCUAACAGGAAGUGACACGGCGAGACGGGCAGACAAUGGAUCUGCGCCGGCCCCGCGUCCCACGCUGGUUCGGACUCCCUGGGCCGCAGCAGAUAACCGGUCCGGGAUCCCAUCCCGGCCGGGCGUGUCCUCUGAGCGUGGGCGCGGUGGGGGCAAGACCGCAGGGGCUUGUGGGUAGCGGCGUCAAAAAAUGCUUGUCCGGUCAGGCGGCAGCGGUCACGGUCCCAUUGCCGGAGCUUCACGGUCCCACGCUGUGUUUGGAGCGCUGGCUUGGACCGCAUCUGGGCUGCAGAUAGAACCUUUGGAACAAAAGUGAUUGUCAAGAAGAAGAAGGAGGAGGAGGAGGAGGAGGAGGCCUUGUGUUGCUUGUUCAGAUAUUCAUUGCUUAAAGCGUCAAUGCUAACUUUGUUAGCUGUGGCGCUUUGCAUGAUGUGCCAGUAUGAUGCUAACGUCCAUAUAAAGGCAAAGGCAGUGCUAAGGAUGAAGAUGUUUCGGAUUCCAGAUAGAGAUGCUGAGAAGGAAGACGCUCCAAGCGGAGGAGGAGCUCACUUUGUUUGGCAAAGCGUUUAAGAAGAAAAGUGAAGCUGCGUCUAAUGCCGAAGAUGAGCGUGAUGGUGAGAAACGAGGAGGAGCGACAACAAUGACAAGACGGCCACCGCAUCGCAAUUGGCGUGCGAGGAUCACGCGAAGACGAGGAAGCGUGGGCGCCGUCUGGCUCCGCUUGAAAGUUGGACAUCAGGCAGCGGCGGCGAGUGGGAACGCCGUCCUGCGGCUCAUCUGAUUGGCCGGCGUGGGAAGCGCACCGCCGUUCCCGGGCGGACAAUCCAAGCAAACUCGGACACGGGCGCUUGUUCCCGAGGCGUGGGGGCGGGCGGGAUUUGUCCCACUUUUCCGCAAGCGAUGGCCAACGGGGUGGACUCGGGAGAUUGCGGCCGCAGCGCCGCUUCCCAAACGGGCUUUUCUCUUAGCGUGCAGUUUCUGGCCCGGCCGCUUAACGGCAUCAGCGACGAGCGCCCCCGACACGUCUUGUGCGUGUCCUUUUGUCUGCUUUUUGCAACUACUUCUUUUACUCUUGUAACUUGUCGUCCUCGGCCUCUUCCCAGCUUCGCAUUUGGGCCUUAUGGAACAAAUAAACGGGAUUGACAGAGUUUUCUAUGACAAGCGUCGCUUUGGAUUUUGUAUGUUUUUUUUUUUUCACCAAAUGGAGAUUAGUGAGAAAUAGCCGCAUGGUGAAAGCUGCUAUUCGAGGAACCUCCGUGUGCUUGAAGCCAACUCUUGUGUUGACUUUAGUCCCCCAUGAUGCACCCGUGUUUGGGCCAGACUUCCACCCGAGUGUGGCGGCGGCGUCUUUAGUCCCGCUCAGUCAAAACAAAACUCGUUACAUCAAAAGCCGUCCUUUUCCCGACCUGGUUUCGACUCUCGCUAUCCGGGCCGGCUCCAAAUUCCCCAAAAGUCCCCCCCCCCCUCUCCGCCCUCCCUCGCACGUGAAAAUGUGCAAACAAGGGCGUCUCGGUGGGCCGCUGGCAAACAAUACAGAAAGCGCGUGUGGCGUCUCGCCGUGAUAAGAUGAGCAAGGUAAUCAAUGCUGUAAUGAAGGGGGGGGGGGGGCGGCGUUCCUAUCGCAGGCCCCCAUCGAUGCAAUUUCUAAAAGUGUGUCAGUGUGUGCGCACGCGCGUGACCAACACGCCAUGGCGUGCGCGCCGCAGAUAAGCAUGAAAUAAUUGCGCUGUGACAGCCUUGAAUAAUGUCCAAAUUAGACAGAAGGUGCACGUUAUUCCUCUUAAGGCAGGCCGUGAUGAUGACGAGGACGAAGACGAUGUCGCUGGAGAUAGCGACAAUCAAUCUUAUGCGUACACCCAACACAGCGCGACCUGCUCCCCCCCUCCCUCCCUCCCUCCCUCCCUCCCUCCCUCAUGUAAUGGGCCUGGCUGGCUAACGCCAUUUCAUGUUUUGUAGCUUGCGAGCUAAGCUGCUCUUUUGCCCGGGAAGAGGAAACGGCGAGCGAUAAGGCGCACCGGAGGCCGUUAUCGGCCGGCGCGCUCAUUUCCAGGACCGGUAGCGCGCCGGCGGCGUCCGUCAUCAUCAGUGUCGCCAUUAGCCGCCAUUGGCUGCGCCCCAGCAUCGUUAGCGCCGGCCUGACUAAUGACCUCUUCCUCGUGCUAGCUGCCCCGCCGCAGCUCCAAAAUGUGGACAACGCAACCCUUGGCACGCAUCCUCCUUUUGGUGUCAUCGUUUGGUGAUGACAUCCUCACCAUCAUUUGUGAUGGUCGGCAUUCUGGAACAACCAAAGUUGAAUUCCGGCCCCGAUUGUAAAUGGUGACCUCCUUCCUUGCCGAGGGCUCCCUCUGCGGCGGAGGCGCCCGGCUGGCGGCGGCGGCGGCAGCGCGAUGAGGGACAGGCGGAGAGGAGGCUGAAAAGUGGACCAGAUCAAAUGGAAAGAUAAGCCAGGAGGAAAAAUGGGAAAGUGGAUGGAUUGCCACGGAGGAGAUGGGUGGGGUGGUUAGGGGGGUGAUGCUAUCGAUAGGAAACGGGAGAGGAAGGUGGCAGCCAUUUUCUUCCCGCUGCUAUCGGAAGACGUACGUUACCGUGACAACACGCAUGAAAGGCGGCGGCCCGAGUUCAUCCACUUUCUCUUAUCUCCGCACACGGCGAGACAAAAUGGAGGCCAUGCCGCAACGAUGCCAGCAAAAGUUGACAAAAUGGCGCCUCCAUUUCUCAUUUGGCCUUCUUCCAAAUGGUCAUUUUGGCGCCUCAAAAUGGGAAAGGCACUUUGUUUCCACGCUCGCCCACUCUCCACAGCGCCACCUGCAGCCGUGGGAAAUGUCACAUUGCAGAUGGACGGCUGCUAAAGUCCAGCUAGGAUGUCGCCUAAUGGACCGAGUCAGAUCUAAUCACGGACACUCAGUGAAGUUUCCUCUCCGGCUUUCAGUCGGCCGAGAAUAUUUGAGGCGGCGUGAAACUCCAUCCCGCCGCCGCCUGUGCGCCAUCCAAUGACGUCUUCAAUAAUUCACCAGCCCGCUGGCCCGCGGCUUCCCGACCGCCGUGCAGUCACAAAUGAUCCUAUUUGGAUUCAUUGCUUCCAAAAAUAGUUACUACCAGUGCUGAACUUUUAAUGUUGCCAUAAAUGUGGCCAAGAAAAGCCAAAGCCGGCCGGUCCGAGUGGCCUGCCCUCAUUAAUUGGAUGAAUGUGAUUAGCAGGUUAUCAGAAGCAUCACAGGAGCUGUCGUCCUUAUCUCCUCACGCUUCCUGGGUCGCUGGUGACAGAGUGGAGCGGUAACGGGACAGGACGGCCGCUCGAUGCACAUCGGAUAUACGGAUUGUGUUUGUUACAUUAAAAAAAAAGCUGUUACUUUGAAAAAGUUGAACUCUGACAUCUCUCUUUUCUUUAGCGGUGACCUCCAACAAGGCCUAACGCGUGUUGUAGUGUGCGACUUCGUUUUUCACGCGCUCAAUGCGGACAACUAUUGAACGGUGCAACAAUGACCUCUUGUGGAAUGAAGUAGUACUGCACCUUAACAAGGCGUAAACCUCGAUGCAAAGAAACUCCUCUUUGUGGGUACAGGCUACAAGGAGUAUAUAUUACAAAGGAGACUUUCUACUUCAUUGUGAUCAUCAUUCAUCCAUCCAUCUAUUUUAUUACUCAGGCUGCCAAAGACGCGCUUUUUGGUGAUUUGAAUUGACCUUUCUCGGCUACCGUACACUUCCGCUUCCGUGGGCAGCUAGCUCUUCAGGUUGCUACCUUUUGGGCUUUCGAACUGUAGGCUGGCUCCACGUCGGCUGCUGCUCGUCCAUCUAUCUGCAUAUCUCAAAAGAGUAAAUAAAUCACAACAAAGUAACAAGUUGAAUGGCAGUCUGCUCAUUGCCAAGUGGUGGAAUGGUCAGCCAGUGGGACGAGUGGUCAGCCCGUGGGACUCCAUGCCUGGACCUGAGACAAAAAGAUAUCACGGAGGGCUCUUGAGGCAGCACAGACCCAGGUGAACGAGGUCAGAGGCUGAAGACAAACUGUGGCAGGCUUUUCACUUUCUGGACCUGGAUUUGCCACCUCUGCCUGGAAAGAAAAAGAAACAUUGACACAGCGACUCCAUUUAAGUUUACUGCUUUUGUUUUUUACUGUAGCGUGGAAGCAGCCAGUCGCUGGUGCACAGCGAGAGUUUCGGAAAUGUUGUAAAAAUUCUCCAGGAUGGACACCUGCACACAACACAAACCAAUCAAGCUGCCAUUUAGUACAUUUUAUUUCUGUGUCAACUUUGAAAAUGGAGACAACCUUGAGUUACCUCUGCAUGGUUUUGGAGGGAUUUUAUUUUUGGCCAGCAGGUAGCAGACGUUCCAACUGCAUCCUUACUGGAAAGGGCUCUGCAGGAAGAGGGAGGCAGGUAAGUGCUUUUAAACAAUGCCAAGUUUAUAGUCACCUGGACAAGAGGUUGAUGACGCCACAAGAUUAAAACCAUGUAGAUCUUCACCAUGCUACAGAAACAGGUCCUUUGGUCCCACCUAGUGGACAAAAGGGGGAAAAACAUGCUGAAAUGUUUGACAUGUGUCAAACGUUUGGACGCGUGCGCGUUUCACCAGUGAGGAAUGGAGGGCAGCACCGGACGUCUCUGCAACCACAGCUCCAGCUCGCUGCUCUGAAAGACACGUCAACCUGUUCCCUCGGUUCCAGAUGCAGGCCUGCCUGGGGACAGAAAUGAGAAGACAAUUAGAAGCGCUCGAUCGAAAGAGUUGACUUUAAAACUCAAGUCAGUCGGCCAUGACAGGCUUGUUUUGAGGGUUUGCACCUGCAGACAGAAAGUCGAAAAUUAAAUGUUUGUGCAAAUAA